rnacentral:rRNA from 1 species
AUUGAACGCUGGCGGCAGGCCUAACACAUGCAAGUCGAGCGGAUGACGGGAGCUUGCUCCUUGAUUCAGCGGCGGACGGGUGAGUAAUGCCUAGGAAUCUGCCUGGUAGUGGGGGACAACGUUUCGAAAGGAACGCUAAUACCGCAUACGUCCUACGGGAGAAAGCGGGGGACCUUCGGGCCUUGCGCUAUCAGAUGAGCCUAGGUCGGAUUAGCUAGUAGGUGAGGUAAUGGCUCACCUAGGCGACGAUCCGUAACUGGUCUGAGAGGAUGAUCAGUCACACUGGAACUGAGACACGGUCCAGACUCCUACGGGAGGCAGCAGUGGGGAAUAUUGGACAAUGGGCGAAAGCCUGAUCCAGCCAUGCCGCGUGUGUGAAGAAGGUCUUCGGAUUGUAAAGCACUUUAAGUUGGGAGGAAGGGUUGUAAGCUAAUAUCUUGCAGCUUUGACGUUACCAACAGAAUAAGCACCGGCUAACUCUGUGCCAGCAGCCGCAGUAACAC